UACAGAGGGUGCAAGCGUUAAUCGGAAUUACUGGGCGUAAAGCGUGCGUAGACGGUUAUGUAAGUCAGAUGUGAAAGCCCCCGGGCUCAACCUGGGAAUUGCAUUUGAGACUGUGUAGCUAGGGUGCGGAAGAGGGAAGCGGAAUUUCCGGUGUAGCGGUGAAAUGCGUAGAUAUCGGAAGGAACACCAGUGGCGAAAGCGGCUUCCUGGUCCAGCACCGACGUUCAGGCACGAAAGCGUGGGGAGCAAACAGG
rnacentral:rRNA from 1 species